rnacentral:rRNA from 1 species
UCGGCUCAGUAACACGUAGUCAACAUGCCCAGGGGACGUGGAUAACCUCGGGAAACUGAGGAUAAACCGCGAUAGGCCAAGGUUUCUGGAAUGGACGCUGGCUGAAAUCUAUACGGCCCCUGGAUUGGACUGCGGCCGAUCAGGCUGUUGGUGAGGUAAUGGCCCACCAAACCUGUAACCGGUACGGGCUUUGAGAGAAGGAGCCCGGAGAUGGGCACUGAGACAAGGGCCCAGGCCCUAUGGGGCGCAGCAGGCGCGAAAAUUCUGCAAUAGGCGAAAGCUUGACAGGGCUAUCCCGAGUGCCAUCCGCUGAGGAAGGCUUUUACCCAGUCUAGAACGCUGGGGGAAUAAGGAGAGGGCAAGUCUGGUGUCAGCCGCCGCGGUAAUACCAGCUCUCCGAGUGGUGUGGAUGUUUAUUGGGCCUAAAGCAUCCGUAGCUGGCUAGGUUAGUCCCCUGUUAAAUCCACCGAAUUAAUCGUUGGAUUGCGGGGGAUACUGCUUGGCUAGGGGACGAGAGAGGCAGACGGUAUUUUCGGGGUAGGGGUGAAAUCCUAUAAUCCCGGGAAGACCACCAGUGGCGAAGGCUGUCUGCUAGAACGCGCCCGACGGUGAGGGAUGAAAGCUGGGGGAGCGAACCGGAUUAGAUACCCGGGUAGUCCCAGCUGUAAACGAUGCAGACUAGGUGUCAGCCACGGUGCGACCGUGGUUGGUGCCGUAGGGGAGCCGUGAAGCGAGCCACCUGGGAAGUACGGCCGCAAGGCUGAAACUUAAAGGAAUUGGCGGGGGAG